rnacentral:rRNA from 1 species
AAUUUGCGCAAUGGACGAAAGUCUGACGCAGCAACGCCGCGUGAGGGAUGAAGGCCUUCGGGUUGUAAACCUCUUUUCUCAGGGACGAUGAUGACGGUACCUGAGGAAUAAGUCACGGCUAACUACGUGCCAGCAGCCGCGGUAAUACGUAGGUGGCUAGCGUUGUCCGGAUUUACUGGGCGUAAAGAGCGCGCAGGCGGUCGUUCAAGUCGAGUGUGAAAGCCCCCGGCUCAACUGGGGAGGGUCACUCGAUACUGAUCGACUUGAAGGCGGGAGAGGGAAGCGGAAUUCCCGGUGUAGUGGUGAAAUGCGUAGAUAUCGGGAGGAACACCAGUGGCGAAGGCGGCUUUCUGGCCCGUUCUUGACGCUGAGGCGCGAAAGCUAGGGUAGCAAACGGGAUUAGAUACCCCGGUAGUCCUAGCCGUAAACGAUGGACACUAGGUGUUGGCGGUAUCAACCCCGCCAGUGCCGAAGCUAACGCAUUAAGUGUCCCGCCUGGGGAGUACGGCCGCAAGGCUA